rnacentral:rRNA from 1 species
AACGAACGCUGGCGGCAUGCCUAACACAUGCAAGUCGAACGAGACCUUCGGGUCUAGUGGCGCACGGGUGCGUAACGCGUGGGAACCUGCCCUUAGGUUCGGAAUAACUCCCCGAAAGGGGUGCUAAUACCGCUAAUGUCUUCGGACCAAAGAUUUGUCGCCUUUGGAUUGGCCCGUGAUGGGUUAGCUCGUUGGUAGGGUAAAAGCCUACCAAGGCGACGAUUCAUAGCUGGUCUGAGAGGAUGAUCAGCCACAGUGGGACUGAGACACGGCCCAGACUCCUACGGGAGGCAGCAGUGGGGAAUAUUGGACAAUGGGCGAAAGCCUGAUCCAGCAAUGCCGCGUGAGUGAUGAAGGCCUGAGGGUUGUAAAGCUCUUUUACCCGGGAGGAUAAUGACAGUACCGGGAGAAUAAGAUCCGGCUAACUCCGUG